NNNNNNNNNNNNNNNNNNNNNNNNNNNNNNNNNNNNNNNNNNNNNNNNNNCAUCCUCCUUUGAGACGAGAACAGCAUCUGCAGUCUCCUACAAGAGAGAUCUUGUCUAUCUUUGUCUCCAGCACACUGAAUGAUUAAUUGUCUUUCUAGAGCAACCCUGGAAUGGUCCCCAGCCACGGAUUCAGUCCCAGAUCUUACUUCUUUGACAACCCUCGAAGAUACGAUAGUGAUGAUGACCUUGCCUGGAACAUUGCCCCUCAGGGACUUCAGGGAAGUUUUGCUCCAGACUACUAUGACUGGGGACAACAAACCAACAGCUUCCUGGCAUCAGUGGGAACUUUCCAACCAGACCCAGUUUUGGAUCCUGACAAACCAGGCCAUGGGUAGUAUCAGUCAACAAUUCUGUGGAAGAUUCCUCAGUGAAGACCUUCAAAGAGAUUAACUUCAUGACAGCUGAAUUUUUGAGCACGAUUCCUGUCCAUCGGCCACGUGAAGAGGCACGUUCCAGACGACGGCUUCAGUGAACUCAGCUGGGACUCCAGCCCUGGUGCAAGUCUAAAACCUCCAAGAUCUAUCCAGGUACCACUGCCUACGAUGGGAAACUGUGUCAGGGAGGUUAAAUGCUCGGAUAUUCCGUAAAACAGAAGGUCCUGGAGGAAGGAUGGUUACCAGCGAGAUGUGACCUGCUCUGCCUAGGAAAUCUCACCUUUCGGGACAGGAGGAGGAGGGGCAGACGGACAGACAGUCAUGCUCUGCCUUCAGGAUGAAGCCCAUUGCCAGUAUCUCUUAUUUCUCAUUAUGGUCUUCAGAAAGGAUUUCUCUCUGGGCAUUGAUUUCACAGAAAUUAAGUCUACUUCUCUUGAUGGUGAUUAAAAUUGCCAUCUCAAGUUGUAAAAAAUGGCUGUGACUGGGUUUUUCAUUUGUACUGAAUGCCUUUGUCCUGCGUCAUCCAACACAGUAGUGUUCUUGCCUUUCAGUAUCUGGAAGAACUGGGGUCACAUGUCACUGAAAAUAGACUUUCAGAGAAAAUUCUAGACUGAAGCAAAAUUUGCACUGAUUAUUUGGGUUGCCUUAAAAUAUUAUAAGUUGUUAUUAUUCUAAAUAGCUUUAAGAACACCCUUACUUGUCAUGCUAUCUUUGUUACUAGUACUUAGAAUUUAAAGGCAGACCAAGCAUAGACUUAAAAACUUUAAAUCAUGCUUUCAGAAAGUACUUCAAUUAGGUCAUUCAAGGGUAGGUAUAUUUUAAAAAAUACAGUAAUAAAAAAAAUCACUCAAAUCAUCCAAUUAUUAUACUCAUGCUGUAUCAACACAUUAUCCUGUUAUUACUGGCAGGAAAGUCGCAAUAACCAACAUUAAGUGAUAAAGGCCAUAAUCUAUUUUUAUGAUAAAGCUGCUACUAUUUGAACUAUCUUCCUACUGGAAAGGAUAAAAAUGUUCUAAGAGCUUAUUUUUCUCUUUCCCUUUUUAAAAAGUUUUGCUUAAGCACAAGUAUUGUAAACACAUCUAGAAUAUUAAUAGGAUUGUAUUAAUAUUUUUCUCAUAGUAAAUGACCAUGUGUACCCUGUGAAACUUUAUAGGUAUGGUAGGUAUGAAAAGGGAAAUUAAAAUUUCUUCAAUUUCCUAAUUGUGUUACAGUGUUAAAUAGGUUCACUAACAAAACUUCUCCUUAAUGUGAAAUAUUAAAGGCCCAAAGAAGGCAAAGAAAAGGGAUUACUGGUUAUAAAACACAGAAAACGUCCUGUUUUAAAGCAAAAUAAUGAAAUUAAAACCUUGGUCAAUUGAAAGUUAAAAAUAUAUGGGGAAGAGGCAGUGUCACUGGAAAUUUUGUACUAAGUCUGAUUCAACACUAAAGGCUGCAUAGGAGUAUUUCUGGACACGUGCUGGAAAUAGGCAUAAAAGUGGUCUUCUUCUGCAGGUAAUUGUCUAAAAACGCCAACUGAUUUGUGUAGAUAUCUUGCACUGGCUCUUUCUUUCUACAAUUAACCCAUUUAACUGAGCCACUGAUUACAACAUCCAGAGUAUGUUGUACUCUGUGGACUGUAAGGAGUUUUUUUUUUUUUUUUUUUUUUUUUACUUUUACAGUACACACAUCAUGGUUAUGCCAAUUCUUUCUUGGAUGCAUCAGGUGUGUUGUUAAAACUAUGCUGGUUACCAUGUUUAGUGGUGUAGAUCAUCAGGCACAUUCACUAGUGUGUCCCCAAAUAUCCUCUUUUCUCAAAAUCCAAUAGAACUGUUCUUUAAUUCCUUGAAUAUUUAAUUCCUAUUAAGAAGAGAACAAGCAUUACUAAAUUCCAGAGCAUGAAAAGUGCUUAGAGAAAAAGGUUCUCAUUUAUAUUUAUAUAGUAGAUAUUACUAGAAUUUUUAUUUUUCAGAAUGAAUCUUUUUUUAAUAAGGGUAAACUUACAUGAGAAUUAAAUGGGUCUAAAUAUUUGUUUUUUUAGCAUUUCCAAGUGGAGAAACUUUAUUAAAAAUUCUUCACUUUAGAGUACUGUAUGAUAAAAUCUAGACAAGUGUAGGUCUGAUUGAAGACCUAUCUAAUACACUUAUCCAUUUUUUGUCCUGGGGAGAAUUUUAUUUAAAAAAAAUUCUAACUGUGCAUAAUGCUAUUUAGGACUUCUCAUCGUCCAGAGGAACUGCUAGAAAGGAUCAGGCUAAAAAGUGGAGUUCUCAUCAAAAACUCUAAUCCAAGUGAGGAAACAUUUUUUUUUUUUUUUUUUNNNNNNNNNNNNNNNNNNNNNNNNNNNNNNNNNNNNNNNNNNN
rnacentral:lncRNA from 1 species